rnacentral:rRNA from 1 species
UCUUUCUUUGCUGGCGACCGGCGCACGGGUGAGUAACGCGUAUCCAACCUGCCUUUACUCGGGGAUAGCCUUUCGAAAGAAAGAUUAAUACCCGAUAGCAUAAUGAUUCCGCAUGGUUUCAUUAUUAAAGGAUUCCGGUAAAGGAUGGGGAUGCGUUCCAUUAGGUUGUUGGUGAGGUAACGGCCCACCAAGCCUUCGAUGGAUAGGGGUUCUGAGAGGAAGGUCCCCCACAUUGGAACUGAGACACGGUCCAA